UACGUAGGUGGCAAGCGUUGUCCGGAAUUAUUGGGCGUAAAGGGCUCGCAGGCGGUUUUUUAAGUCUGAUGUUGAAAUCUUGUGGCUCAACCACAAGCGGUCAUUGGAAACUGGAAGACUUGAGUACAGAAGAGGAGAGUGGAAUUCCACGUGUAGCGGUGAAAUGCGUAGAGAUGUGGAGGAACACCAGUGGCGAAGGCGACUCUCUGGUCUGUAACUGACGCUCAGGUGCGAAAGCCAGGGGAGCGAACGGG
rnacentral:rRNA from 1 species